UGCAAGUCGAACGAGUUCUCGUUGAUGAUCGGUGCUUGCACCGAGAUUCAACAUGGAACGAGUGGCGGACGGGUGAGUAACACGUGGGUAACCUGCCCUUAAGUGGGGGAUAACAUUUGGAAACAGAUGCUAAUACCGCAUAGAUCCAAGAACCGCAUGGUUCUUGGCUGAAAGAUGGCGUAAGCUAUCGCUUUUGGAUGGACCCGCGGCGUAUUAGCUAGUUGGUGAGGUAAUGGCUCACCAAGGCGAUGAUACGUAGCCGAACUGAGAGGUUGAUCGGCCACAUUGGGACUGAGACACGGCCCAAACUCCUACGGGAGGCAGCAGUAGGGAAUCUUCCACAAUGGACGCAAGUCUGAUGGAGCAACGCCGCGUGAGUGAAGAAGGCUUUCGGGUCGUAAAACUCUGUUGUUGGAGAAGAAUGGUCGGCAGAGUAACUGUUGCCGGCGUGACGGUAUCCAACCAGAAAGCCACGGCUAACUACGUGCCAGCAGCCGCGGUAAUACGUAGGUGGCAAGCGUUAUCCGGAUUUAUUGGGCGUAAAGCGAGCGCAGGCGGUUUUUUAAGUCUGAUGUGAAAGCCCUCGGCUUAACCGAGGAAGCGCAUCGGAAACUGGGAAACUUGAGUGCAGAAGAGGACAGUGGAACUCCAUGUGUAGCGGUGAAAUGCGUAGAUAUAUGGAAGAACACCAGUGGCGAAGGCGGCUGUCUGGUCUGUAACUGACGCUGAGGCUCGAAAGCAUGGGUAGCGAACAGGAUUAGAUACCCUGGUAGUCCAUGCCGUAAACGAUGAAUGCUAGGUGUUGGAGGGCUUCCGCCCUUCAGUGCCGCAGCUAACGCAUUAAGCAUUCCGCCUGGAGAGUACGACCGCA
rnacentral:rRNA from 1 species